UACGCAGGGUGCAAGCGUUAUUCGGAAUUACUGGGCGUAAAGCGCGCGUAGGCGGCCCUGUAAGUCCGCUGUGAAAGUCAAAGGCUCAACCUUUGAAAGCCGGUGGAUACUGCAGGGCUAGAGUCCGGAAGAGGCGAGUGGAAUUCCUGGUGUAGCGGUGGAAUGCGCAAAUAUCAGGAGGAACACCAAUAGCGAAGGCAGCUCGCUGGGACGGUACUGACGCUAAGGCGCGAAAGCGUGGGGAGCGAACAGG
rnacentral:rRNA from 1 species